GACGAACGCUGGCGGCGUGCCUAAUACAUGCAAGUUGAGCGCUGAAGGUUGGUACUUGUACCAACUGGAUGAGCAGCGAACGGGUGAGUAACGCGUGGGGAAUCUGCCUUUGAGCGGGGGACAACACUUGGAAACGAAUGCUAAUACCGCAUAAAAACUUUAAACACAAGUUUUAAGUUUGAAAGAUGCAAUUGCAUCACUCAAAGAUGAUCCCGCGUUGUAUUAGCUAGUUGGUGAGGUAAAGGCUCACCAAGGCGAUGAUACAUAGCCGACCUGAGAGGGUGAUCGGCCACAUUGGGACUGAGACACGGCCCAAACUCCUACGGGAGGCAGCAGUAGGGAAUCUUCGGCAAUGGACGAAAGUCUGACCGAGCAACGCCGCGUGAGUGAAGAAGGGUUUCGGAUCGUAAAACUCUGUUGGUAGAGAAGAACGUUGGUGAGAGUGGAAAGCUCAUCAAGUGACGGUAACUACCCAGAAAGGGACGGCUAACUACGUG
rnacentral:rRNA from 1 species